UACAUAGGGGGCGAGCGUUAUCCGGAAUUAUUGGGCGUAAAGCGCGUGUAGGCGGCCCGUUAAGUCGACUGUGAAAUCCCAGGGCUCAACCCUGGAACUGCAGCCGAUACUGGCGGGCUUGAGGUAGCUAGAGGAGAUUGGAAUUCACAGUGUAGCGGUGGAAUGCGCAGAUAUUGGGAGGAACACCAAUGGCGAAUUCAGCUCUCUGGAGCUCACCUGACGUUGAGGCGCGAAAGCAUGGGUAGCAAACAGG
rnacentral:misc_RNA from 1 species